rnacentral:rRNA from 1 species
UUGGAGAGUUUGAUCCUGGCUCAGGAUGAACGCUGGCGGCGUGCCUAAUACAUGCAAGUCGAGCGAACAGACGAGGAGCUUGCUCCUCUGACGUUAGCGGCGGACGGGUGAGUAACACGUGGAUAACCUACCUAUAAGACUGGGAUAACUUCGGGAAACCGGAGCUAAUACCGGAUAACAUGUUGAACCGCAUGGUUCAACAGUGAAAGACGGUCUUGCUGUCACUUAUAGAUGGAUCCGCGCCGCAUUAGCUAGUUGGUAAGGUAACGGCUUACCAAGGCAACGAUGCGUAGCCGACCUGAGAGGGUGAUCGGCCACACUGGAACUGAGACACGGUCCAGACUCCUACGGGAGGCAGCAGUAGGGAAUCUUCCGCAAUGGGCGAAAGCCUGACGGAGCAACGCCGCGUGAGUGAAGAAGGUCUUCGGAUCGUAAAACUCUGUUAUUAGGGAAGAACAAAUGUGUAAGUAACUAUGCACGUCUUGACGGUACCUAAUCAGAAAGCCACGGCUAACUACGUGCCAGCAGCCGCGGUAAUAA